rnacentral:rRNA from 1 species
ACGCUAGCUACAGGCUUAACACAUGCAAGUCGAGGGGCAGCAUUUUAGUUUGCUUGCAAACUGAAGAUGGCGACCGGCGCACGGGUGAGUAACACGUAUCCAACCUGCCGAUAACUCCGGAAUAGCCUUUCGAAAGAAAGAUUAAUACCGGAUAGCAUACGAAUAUCGCAUGAUAUUUUUAUUAAAGAAUUUCGGUUAUCGAUGGGGAUGCGUUCCAUUAGUUUGUUGGCGGGGUAACGGCCCACCAAGACUACGAUGGAUAGGGGUUCUGAGAGGAAGGUCCCCCACAUUGGAACUGAGACACGGUCCAAACUCCUACGGGAGGCAGCAGUGAGGAAUAUUGGUCAAUGGGCGAGAGCCUGAACCAGCCAAGUAGCGUGAAGGAUGAAGGCUCUAUGGGUCGUAAACUUCUUUUAUAUGGGAAUAAAGUUUUCCACGUGUGGAAUUUUGUAUGUACCAUAUGAAUAAGGAUCGGCUAACUCCGUGCCAGCAGCCGCGGUAAUACGGAGGAUCCGAGCGUUAUCCGGAUUUAUUGGGUUUAAAGGGAGCGUAGGUGGAUUGUUAAGUCAGUUGUGAAAGUUUGCGGCUCAACCGUAAAAUUGCAGUUGAAACUGGCAGUCUUGAGUACAGUAGAGGUGGGCGGAAUUCGUGGUGUAGCGGUGAAAUGCUUAGAUAUCACGAAGAACUCCGAUUGCGAAGGCAGCUCACUAGACUGUCACUGACACUGAUGCUCGAAAGUGUGGGUAUCAAACAGGAUUAGAUACCCUGGUAGUCCACACAGUAAACGAUGAAUACUCGCUGUUUGCGAUAUACAGUAAGCGGCCAAGCGAAAGCAUUAAGUAUUCCACCUGGGGAGUACGCCGGCAACGGUGAAACUCAAAGGAAUUGACGGGGGCCCGCACAAGCGGAGGAACAUGUGGUUUAAUUCGAUGAUACGCGAGGAACCUUACCCGGGCUUAAAUUGCAACAGAAUAUAUUGGAAACAGUAUAGCCGUAAGGCUGUUGUGAAGGUGCUGCAUGGUUGUCGUCAGCUCGUGCCGUGAGGUGUCGGCUUAAGUGCCAUAACGAGCGCAACCCUUAUCUUUAGUUACUAACAGGUCAUGCUGAGGACUCUAGAGAGACUGCCGUCGUAAGAUGUGAGGAAGGUGGGGAUGACGUCAAAUCAGCACGGCCCUUACGUCCGGGGCUACACACGUGUUACAAUGGGGGGUACAGAAGGCGGCUACCUGGUGACAGGAUGCUAAUCCCAAAAACCUCUCUCAGUUCGGAUCGAAGUCUGCAACCCGACUUCGUGAAGCUGGAUUCGCUAGUAAUCGCGCAUCAGCCACGGCGCGGUGAAUACGUUCCCGGGCCUUGUACACACCGCCCGUCAAGCCAUGGGAGCCGGGGGUACCUGAAGUGCGUAACCACGAGGAUCGCCCUAGGGUAAAACUGGUGAC